UGGGGAAUUAUGCGCAAUGGACGAAAGUCUGACGCUGCGACGUCGCGUGGGUGAUGAAGGUCUUCGGAUCGUAAAACCCUGUCGAGAGGGAAGAAAGAGCGGGCGCUAAUAUCGCCUACUUCUGACGGUACCUCUGGAGGAAGCCCCGGCUAACUCUGUGCCAGCAGCCGCGGUAAUACAGAGGGGGCAAGCGUUGUUCGGAAUUACUGGGCGUAAAGCGCGCGUAGGCGGUCGUAUAAGUCGGAUGUGAAAGCCCUUGGCUCAACCAAGGAACUGCGUCCGAUACUGGAUGGCUUGAGGUUGGGAGAGGGAUGCGGAAUUCCAGGUGUAGCGGUGAAAUGCGUAGAUAUCUGGAGGAACACCGGUGGCGAAGGCGACAUCCUGGACCAAUUCUGACGCUGAGGAGCGAAAGCCAGGGGAGCAAACGGGAUUAGAUACCCCCGUAGUCCCUGAGCGGGCUGGCAAGGCGCAU
rnacentral:rRNA from 1 species